rnacentral:SRP_RNA from 1 species
GCCGAGCUGGGUAACACUAGCUUGUGACCCAAGUGGGGGCACCAAGGUGAUUGAACAAGGCUUUGGCAUUACCAAGUUGGCUUGGUGGUUGCAUCAUGCUGGCUUGCCCACUCCAAGCUGAGAGUUGAGCCAUGGGAACUUUGCGAAGGCAUUGGUCUCCUGGUUCCUAGACGAGAGGGCACAGCGUGAGGCUGGCUUCACAGAGCAGCGACUACCUCUGGCUCUUGGCAGUGGAGGGAUCACAGGCUGCUGCACCUUCAGGCCACUUAGCUUGGUGAGCCUGCCUCUUGAACAAUCACUUUU